rnacentral:rRNA from 1 species
GACGACGACUCCUACGGGAGGCAGCAGUGGGGAAUAUUGCACAAUGGGCGCAAGCCUGAUGCAGCCAUGCCGCGUGUAUGAAGAAGGCCUUCGGGUUGUAAAGUACUUUCAGCAGUGAGGAAGGUGGGUAUGUUAAUAGCAUACUCAUUUGACGUUAGCUGCAGAAGAAGCACCGGCUAACUCCGUGCCAGCAGCCGCGGUAAUACGGAGGGUGCGAGCGUUAAUCGGAAUUACUGGGCGUAAAGCGCAUGCAGGUGGUUUGUUAAGUCAGAUGUGAAAGCCCGGGGCUCAACCUCGGAAUUGCAUUUGAAACUGGCAAACUAGAGUACUGUAGAGGGGGUAGAAUUUCAGGUGUAGCGGUGAAAUGCGUAGAGAUCUGAAGGAAUACCGGUGGCGAAGGCGGCCCCCUGGACAGAUACUGACACUCAGAUGCGAAAGCGUGGGGAGCAAACAGGAUUAGAUACCCUGGGAG